rfam:Camelus ferus unplaced genomic scaffold scaffold82, whole genome shotgun sequence.
GGAGGUAUAGCUUGAGUGGUAGAGUGCAUGCUUAGCAUGCACAAGGUCCUGGGUUCAAUCCCCAGUGCCUCCA